GGGUUCUAGGGUUUGUGCGCGAACGAACGGGGGACGAGAUCAGAGAAGAGGGCGGGCUCCGGGCUGGCGAAGAGGAGAGGAGUGCUCUCCGGAGAACGCUCACCUCGAGUCGCCGCUGUCGCCGCCCCUGGUCGCGGCCGGCGUCGCGCGGAGCUCGCCCUCGGUGGUACGUGAGGGCGGAGAAGUGGGGGGGAUGCGGCCGGGGACAAGCAGGAAGCAGGGGCGCCUGGGCCUUGUUCGCCGUUGCCGCCGGUCGCCGCGGGUCAGGCGUCGGCUGGAAGGGCGGGGGUGGAGGGUGGGGCGUACGGCGGAGUUGGAGACGAACGCGGCCGGCUGUUUCCGUUGGGUUCACUGGGGCAGGGGCAACCAGGUAAUUGCGGGUUGCGGUGAGGGAGUGCGGGGGCGGGUGUCAGUGAGGUGGCGUUGGCGGCUUGGGGCACCGGAGGCGCGGCGGCGUGGGCGUUCGAUGGGUCGGUUGAAA
rnacentral:lncRNA from 1 species